AUGGGAGCAGCAGGUCUUAGCGCAGAAAGGCCUUGGCGCAAACUUGGGGCAGAGGGACCCAAGCCCAGCUUGGUUCACCCGGUGCGAUGUCCCGGGAGGGGUGGUCAGAGCCUGGGCUGUUUCCAGUGGGGACGCCUGGGCUGUCCCCGUGGGCCCAGCACCCUCCUGACAGCCUCUUGCCUUGGCAGUCAUCACCUCCAAGGACCUCCAGAAGCACGGCAACAUCUGGGUCUGCCCUGUCUCGGAUCAUGUCUGCACCCGCUUCUUCUUUGUGUACGAAGAUGGCCAAGUGGGAGAUGCCAAUAUCAAUACUCAGGACCCCAAAAUCCAGAAGGAGAUCAUGCGUGUGAUUGGGACUCAGGUGUACACAAACUGAGCGGCAGGGACCCGCCACGGUCCUCUCACAGGGGCCAAAAGGCGUCCGAGGCCGGAGGCGAGUGGAGCAGCGAAGGCUCUGGAAGAGGCCRGGGAAGGGGGAGCGGGUCUCGCGCCUCCCGGGAUCAGGGCAGCGCCGCGCAGCUCUGGGCAGCGGAGACGCGGGAGCCCGGCACCGGCGGGCUCCAUCCUGUAUAUAGGUGUAAAGCAGAGAGUGUGCACGAGGCGGAUUUAGCGGUCCCUUCUCCCCUGUCCCUCCGAUGUCCCUAAUCCCAUCCCAGAGUGGAGAAGGACCUGUGGGCAGGGCCUGGCUUGCGUGCCCGCUGCCUGGGGGCGGACAUCCCUCCUCGCGUUUACAGUGAUGAUGUUUUUACCAACGAUGACGAGAAACCGAAGCAAAAAAAAAAAGAAAAACACACACAAAAAAAGAGAAAAGAAAUCCGUUUUAGCUUAUUAAAAUUCUUUAAAAAACAUUCUGGGCUGGGUGUGCCGCUCUCUGCCAGCCUAGCUGGUGAUGGGGCGGCAUGGCAGUGUCCUGUCCCCCUGCCCCGGCUCAUUUUGGACCCAUGGGCGAGAYGGCUGCAGCCAGCCCUCUGGGCACAGCAGCAUCGCAGCUCAGUGGGCAGGGAGAUGGGCACAGGGGUGGUGGCCUUCACAGCUCUGGAGUUCAUGCCCACUUUGGGUUUCCUAAGGGAGCAGGUCUCCUCAUGCUUCGAUCAUGGCCCAGACUCCAUGGCAUGGGCUGGGGAGCCAGGCGUCGGGCUGGGCAACUGCCCCAGGCCACGGCAAGAGGUCUAGGGUUCUUCUGCCCAGCAAAGGGAGAUGGUCUGAGAGCCAUGCUGGCUGCAUCCAGUGCUCCUCCGACCCCCAUCCCUCCACGCACCCACCUCCCAAGGUCCCCAUCGUGGAGCCAGGCAUCUCUGAGCGCCUCGGCCGCCAGCUCCAGCUCUCCAGMAGCCUGUCCCCAGCACCCUGGGGUGCCGGAAAUCUCUGUGCCGUCACUGAGAAGGGAUGGGGCCACUGCAAGGUGUCAUGCCAUAAGGAAGGGGUCUCACCAUGGAGAAAGCAUGGUGCCACAGGGAAGGGCUGGCUCCGUGGAGAGGCUCUGGUGCUGUGCAGAAGGCACCACACCAUAGGGCAGCGAUCAUGCCAUGGGGAAGGGACUACACCAUGGAGCAGGGAUCGUGUCACAGGGAAAGGACGGCAUUAUGGAGAAGGGAUCACAUCAUGGAGCAGGGAUUGCACCACGGGGAAGGGUCAUGCCACGGGG
rnacentral:lncRNA from 1 species